rnacentral:rRNA from 1 species
AGAGUUUGAUCCUGGCUCAGGACGAACGCUGGCGGCGUGCCUAAUACAUGCAAGUCGAACGCUUCUUUUUCCACCGGAGCUUGCUCCACCGGAAAAAGAAGAGUGGCGAACGGGUGAGUAACACGUGGGUAACCUGCCCAUCAGAAGGGGAUAACACUUGGAAACAGGUGCUAAUACCGUAUAACAAUCAAAACCGCAUGGUUUUGAUUUGAAAGGCGCUUUCGGGUGUCGCUGAUGGAUGGACCCGCGGUGCAUUAGCUAGUUGGUGAGGUAACGGCUCACCAAGGCCACGAUGCAUAGCCGACCUGAGAGGGCGAUCGGCCACAUUGGGACUGAGACACGGCCCAAACUUCUACGGGAGGCAGCAGUAGGGAAUCUUCGGCAAUGGACGAAAGUCUGACCGAGCAACGCCGCGUGAGUGAAGAAGGUUUUCGGAUCGUAAAACUCUGUUGUUAGAGAAGAAUAAGGAUGAGAGUAACUGUUCAUCUCUUGACGGUAUCUAACCAGAAAGCCACGGCUAACUACGUGCCAGCAGCCGCGGUAAUACGUAGGUGGCAAGCGUUGUCCGGAUUUAUUGGGCGUAAAGCGAGCGCACGCGGUUUCUUAAGUCUGAUGUGAAAGCCCCCGGCUCAACCGGGGAGGGUCAUUGGAAACUGGGAGACUUGAGUGCAGAAGAGGAGAGUGGAAUUCCAUGUGUAGCGGUGAAAUGCGUAGAUAUAUGGAGGAACACCAGUGGCGAAGCGCUCUCUGGUCUGUAACUGACGCUGAGCUCGAAAGC